AUGCACGGGCGACGGCCACCCUUCCUGUUAUUGCCUCCAUGGCUGACUGCUCAUCCCCAGUAACCUCCCCCCCCUCACGUGCGCCACACUCUGGGAUUAAGGUCUGCUCCUUGGCUAGCAUUUGCGCUGACCGAUUCUCUGAUUUCUCUCCACCGAAGAAUCAAAGAAACAAGCAAGCUGAUGUCUAACAUAUUUGUUUCGUAAUAGUUGGAACUGGAAGAGGAAGCUCCAGUACAAUUCAGAUCUCUGCUCAAACUCUCAAUAUCUCAUGCAUACAUAACUGCUUAUUGUGUGAAUAUUAGACGUUACUUGUGCAUCAUCUUCACCCUUUCCUAAUUCAAUAUCUGUAAAAGUAGGCAAAGCUUCCUGUUAUUAUGUGCUAUAAUAUUUUUGAAUUGCUGUCUAGAAAAUACUUGGUCAGUUCUUCCGUAAGAAAGCUGAAGUUGGAUAUUAGGUGCUUUAACAAAGCUACUCCCUCCGUUCACUUUUAUAAGUCAUUUCAGACAACUCAAAAUAAACUACUUUGCACAUUGUCUGAAAUGUCUUCAAGGCCUUAUAAAAGUGAACAGAGUGAGUGAUUCUUUUAAGCAAUUACAUUACCAUUGUUAGAUAUAUUAUUCAGAGCUCACUAAAGUAGAAAGGUUCUGAUGCUUUGACGGUACAGUUUCCUGAGCAUGCUUCAAUAUCAUUUGUUUCUGCAUAUCGUUAAGGCUUUUCAUGAUUUUUUUUUCUGUUUUUAAAGAUUGUCAAAGUACAUGCUGCAAGAUACUGUUGAGUUAAUUAAUUUCCUCGAGUCAAACAAAAAUAUGGAAACAGUCAAGGAGAUGUCGAAUGAUGAAUAUAUUCAGAUACUAAGAGAGGUUCUAAAAUGUGUUUUGGCAGAGUGCUAGCACGCUACAUUGGAGAGAAAGCGUUGAGAGAAUGCUUUGUUGGGAUGAUAGACAUGAAUAAUCAAUCCUGAAUCCUCAUUCCAAGGUUGCGAGCCGAAUGCGUCAUCGACGAGGAGGUGAGUUUGGAUUUGGACGGUGAAGAUGAGAAGAUAGUUGGGGAGGAAGAAGGUAUAAAAUCAACAAUAUCGUCUGGUGUGCGUGAGGAUCCUAAUGGUACAUGUUUGACGUGAUCGUUGCUAACCUAAU